rnacentral:misc_RNA from 1 species
GAUGAAGAACGUAGCGAAAUGCGAUAAGUAAUGUGAAUUGCAGAAUUCAGUGAAUCAUCGAAUCUUUGAACGCACAUUGCGCCCGCUAGUAUUCUGGCGGGCAUGCCUGUCCGAGCGUCAUUUCAACCCUCAAGCCCCCGGGCUUGGUGUUGGGGAUCGGCGAGCCUCCGCGCCCGCCGUCCCCUACAUCUAGUGGCGGUCUCGCUGUAGCUUCCUCUGCGUAGUAGCACACCUCGCACUGGGAAACAGCGCGGCCACGCCGUUAAACCCCCAACUUCUGAACGUUUGACCGCGGAUCAGGUAGGAAUACCCGCUGAACUUAAGCAUAUCAAUAAGCGGAGGA